AGCCGAGCGGUAUUUGUCCUUCGGGACGGAGAGAGCGGCGUACGGGUGCGGAACACGUGUGCAACCUGCCUUUAUCUGGGGGAUAGCCUUUCGAAAGGAAGAUUAAUACCCCAUAACAUAUGAUACGGCAUCGUAUUAUAUUGAAAACUCCGGUGGAUAGAGAUGGGCACGCGCAAGAUUAGAUAGUUGGUGAGGUAACGGCUCACCAAGUCAGUGAUCUUUAGGGGGCCUGAGAGGGUGAUCCCCCACACUGGUACUGAGACACGGACCAGACUCCUACGGGAGGCAGCAGUGAGGAAUAUUGGACAAUGGGUGAGAGCCUGAUCCAGCCAUCCCGCGUGAAGGACUAAGGCCCUAUGGGUUGUAAACUUCUUUUAUACUGGGAUAAACCUACUUACGUGUAAGUAGCUGAAGGUACAGUAUGAAUAAGCACCGGCUAACUCCGUGCCAGCAGCCGCGGUAAUACGGAGGGUGCAAGCGUUAUCCGGAUUUAUUGGGUUUAAAGGGUCCGUAGGCGGAUCCGUAAGUCAGUGGUGAAAUCUCAUAGCUUAACUAUGAAACUGCCAUUGAUACUGCGGGUCUUGAGUGAGAUUGAGGUAGCUGGAAUAAGUAGUGUAGCGGUGAAAUGCAUAGAUAUUACUUAGAACACCAAUUGCGAAGGCAGGUUACCAAGUCUUAACUGACGCUGAGGGACGAA
rnacentral:rRNA from 1 species